AUUGAACGCUGGCGGCAUGCCUUACACAUGCAAGUCGAACGGUAACGCGGGGCAACCUGGCGACGAGUGGCGAACGGGUGAGUAAUGCAUCGGAACGUGCCCAGUAGUGGGGGAUAGCCCGGCGAAAGCCGGAUUAAUACCGCAUACGACCUACGGGUGAAAGGGGGGGAUCGCAAGACCUCUCGCUAUUGGAGCGGCCGAUGUCAGAUUAGGUAGUUGGUGGGGUAAAGGCCUACCAAGCCGACGAUCUGUAGCUGGUCUGAGAGGACGACCAGCAACACUGGGACUGAGAAACGGCCCAGACUCCUACGGGAGGCAGCAGUGGGGAAUUUUGGACAAUGGGCGCAAGCCUGAUCCAGCCAUGCCGCGUGCGGGAAGAAGGCCUUCGGGUUGUAAACCGCUUUUGUCAGGGAAGAAAUCUUCUGAGUUAAUACCUCGGGAGGAUGACGGUACCUGAAGAAUAAGCACCGGCUAACUACGUGCCAGCAGCCGCGGUAAAAC
rnacentral:rRNA from 1 species